rnacentral:rRNA from 1 species
CGGACGGGUGAGUAACACGUGGAUAACCUACCUAUAAGACUGGGAUAACUUCGGGGAACCGGAGCUAAUACCGGAUAAUAUAUUGAACCGCAUGGUUCAAUAGUGAAAGACGGUUUUGCUGUCACUUAUAGAUGGAUCCGCGCCGCAUUAGCUAGUUGGUAAGGUAACGGCUUACCAAGGCAACGAUGCGUAGCCGACCUGAGAGGGUGAUCGGCCACACUGGAACUGAGACACGGUCCAGACUCCUACGGGAGGCAGCAGCA